rnacentral:lncRNA from 1 species
AGGAAGCAAAUAUAUAAUAUAAAUAAAUAAUAAAAUUGGAAUUGUAUAAGAUAAGUGAACAUUUAAGAUGAAGAAAAUGAGAGAAAUUAACAAAAAGAAAAGAAAGGCUACGCAUAUACAGAGCCUCGAUCCCUAGUGUUGUGCAUGGAAUUUCAGCACUUCAACCAUGGCACCUAUAGUCAUUUUGCGAUUUGGGUGCCACUUGUUCCUUAUAUAAAACUUUAUGCGUGCGACCGGGUGGCGUGCCACCCCCAAUUCCAUACAUAGAUCCGCCUCUGACUGCAUCUAUUAUCAAAAAAUAAGAUUCUAAACAUAUGCUUGCGCAAAAAUAAAAUAAAAAACAGCAUCUCAACAUAAGGCACCUCUGUUGCCCAAUUAUUUUUAUGACUGAUGUGUUGUAUCUUGUGCGUCCAACUGCGAUAUAGCUCCUGUAACGCCAAAAACUGGGUUUUUUCAUGGAUUAUUUUAAUUUUGCUUUGCAAAACUCUAUCAACCCAAUUUUCGUGUGCCCAAACUCCACUCUUUAUUCAUUAGCUCAUUAAAAGAUUAACUUCUUUUGAAGUGGAAGAAGAUGAAGUUAUUCCCUUUUAAUUUAUCUCAAUAGAAAAGAGUCUGUCAUUGGUUAAAAAUAUAUUCACUUUCUUCUCCAACACAAUUUAUGGGUAAAUUGGUAAAUUAAUGAACUUGGACGUGCCUGUCAGACCAUGUCCAUCGACGGUUAACUAAAAUAUCAAUAGCUUGAGCAUAGGCGGAUCCAGAAUUUAGGAGGAUGGGUGCACCACUACCCGACCACCGUUGAUUUGGUCCUCUAAAAUUCACACCCCUUUUUUACCUUACUACCUCUUUAAAAGAUAUAAAGUGAUUUUUAAGUUCAAAAGGGUUUUCAAACGGAAAGUGACAAAAGAUUGAGUUUUAAAAGAUUUUUCAGAGUCGGCAAUUGACAUUUGGUUUCGGCGUGCCAAGUUACUGUUUUAAAAAAAUGAAUUUUCCUCCUAAAACACAUUUAGAUUCCAAAAUUAGUUUGCACCGUAGAUUCCAAUUAAGGGGUUCUUUUGACUCGGGAAGAAGGUGUUAGGCAUUCCCCAAGUCAUGUAACUAGUACGGUUGCGUACAUGAUCAAAUUGGCUUUAAAGAGUACUCUAAUUAAGGUAAACACACAAAAGAAGAUAAACACAAAGAGGUUUAAGGUUGUCCCCGCCUAAUAAAAAAAAGGAAAGAAAAAUCCUAAACUAACCUACGCUCCUCCACGAUGCUCGCCACAUCCUCCAAAUACAUAUACUACGGGAUAUUCCCCGGAUAAAAUAAUAACUAAGAGACAACCUCUCACCUCGAAUAUAAUAAAGAAAAGGCCUAAAAUUUACCUACCCAUGCUCUUAAGGGCCUAAACAUGCUCCUGACGGCCCAAGCAAGUAAAGUGAAAUAAUUAACAGGAUAAAUUCAACUUUUCAUCCAAAUGUACAAAGCCGCGUAUUCAAAAGCAGCGAGAAUUCCAAUCGAUUUACUUAAUUAUGUUAAAUUAAUUCUUUGUCAUCAAAAUAGUAACUGUGAAUAGACAAGGUGGGUUGCUCUGAUGGUAAGCACCCUUCACUUUCAACCAAAAGGUUGUGAGUUCGAGUCAUCCCAAGAGCAAGGUGGGGAGUUCUUGGAGGGAAAGACGCCGAGGGUCUAUUGGAAACAGCCUCCCUACCCUAGGGUAGGGGUAAGGUCUGCAUAUACACUACUCUCCUUAGAUCCCACUAGUAGAAUUAUACUGGGUUGUUAUUAUUAUUGUUAUUGUUGAAGCCUUGAACAAUCAUCUCUUAAUGAAGAGUGAAACAUGGAAUCAAAACCUCACUUUAACCAUCAAAAACCCAUCCAAAACAUAUUUAAACUAAACAACGUACAAACAAUAAUCAUCAACAAAAAGCAAAUAUUACUAAGACAUUCAAAAACAGAGCAAUGAUAGAUUAACGAAAUAAUAAGAGCAUGAUGUUGUUUAGCAAAUAAGAAAUAGAAGGAAAUGAGAAAUCGACCUCAAACGAAUCUGAAGAUUAAUUGUGCGGCAGCUUUGAAACACAAGCGUCAGAAUCGCGGACAAGAUCUCCACUGGGAGGCCUCACCGGAAACCUCACCGAACUCCGACCGGAAUUUGAGUGAGAAAAUGAACCAGGAGACUAAAACCUUUAUCCACGACCUCGAACUCGGAAACGGACAGUCGAAAUCAACUCCGUCUCCGCAACACCAUAGAAAUCCAAAUCUUAAACCAUUUUUGUAGUGAGAGGAAACAGAAUUUUAUUUUGAUAAAUUUUAUACAAGAAAAUUAAAACCGAAAAUCAGAAGAGAAAUCCUCGAUUUUGUCCAAAACCCCUUCUGUCCGUUCUCACUCUGUUUUUCCGUUCUCACUCUGUUUUUCCGAUUGUCCCCUCUCGUUUCUCCACUGUUCUAUUCUGUUUCGUGCCCUACUCUGUUCAUUCUCCCUCUGUUUUCUCACGUCCCUCUCCCCCUCAUUUCUCCACUGUUCUAUUGUGUUCUGUGUACAACAACAACAAUAACAACUCAGUAAAAUUCCAUUAAUGGGGUCUGGGGAGGGUAGUGUAUACGCAGACCUUACCCCUACCCCGAAGAAGUAGAGAGGUUGUUUUCGAAAGACCCUCG